UACGUAGGUGACAAGCGUUGUCCGGAUUUACUGGGCGUAAAGAGCGCGCAGGCGGUCGUUCAAGUCGAGUGUGAAAGCCCCCGGCUCAAUUGGGGAGGGUCAUUCGAUACUGAUCGACUCGAAGGCAGGAGAGGGAAGUGGAAUUCCCGGUGUAGUGGUGAAAUGCGUAGAUAUCGGGAGGAACACCAGUGGCGAAGGCGACUUCCUGGCCUGUUCUUGACGCUGAGGCGCGAAAGCUAGGGGAGCAAACGGG
rnacentral:rRNA from 1 species